UAUUCUUCAAGCUCUGGAAAUAACUGGACAGAGAGGCGUCAUCAACCGAGGCUGGGGUGGCCUUGGUAAUUUGGCAGAACCAAGUGAUUCUGUGUAUUUAGUGGACAAUUGCCCCCAUGAUUGGCUAUUCCAACGAUGCUCUGCUGUGGCUACUCCCGGUUUCUCACCGGAUAUGAAAAAAUUUCUUAGGUGCAUCAGGGGGUGCUGGGACAACUGCUGCUAGUCUGAAAGCU